CAGAUACAGAGAAGAUUAGCAUGGUCCCUGCACAAGGGUGACACGCAAAUUCAGGAAGCAUUCCAUAUUUUU
rnacentral:snRNA from 1 species